UAGGAAUAAUAGCUCAAGUGCCCUGCAAAAGGUGGGAACUCUGCAUUGCUGAAGUUAAGUCCUGUUGUACUCUAUGUCUACGUACCCCUUUUUUGUUGUGUACGUGGGGAGGCGCCCUGGAGUGUAUACAACAUGGGGAGUUACCCAUGCUCAAAUUUUCGACUUCCCCGGUGGCUGAUUCGAAGGGUUUAACAGUUUGACGGAGGCAUUGGAGGCUUUUCGCCAGUUUAGAAGAGAUAACGGAGGCCACCCCAACAUUGGCAGUGAGGAGUUUGAGAUCGAUCUGGAAAGUGGCAUUCGAUGUAGAGUUGUAGGAAGAACCAUUGAUGAGGAGGAUGUGGCCAAUGCAUACCGAAUGGGGAUGCUAAUGGGAGUGCUCCGUGCGGAGUCCCGUCGUUAUGAUCGCCUCCGGGAAAGGUUUAGGGCAGAGCUCGCUACAUCCGACAGUCCGGGACCAUCAAACA